UGAGGAAUAUUGGACAAUGGGUGAGAGCCUGAUCCAGCCAUCCCGCGUGCAGGAAGACGGCCCUAUGGGUUGUAAACUGCUUUUAUACAGGAAUAAACCAUUUUUCGUGAAGGAUGUUGAAGGUACUGUAUGAAUAAGCAUCGGCUAACUCCGUGCCAGCAGCCGCGGUAAUACGGAGGAUGCAAGCGUUAUCCGGAUUUAUUGGGUUUAAAGGGUCCGUAGGCGGGCUAAUAAGUCAGUGGUGAAAUCGAGCAGCUUAACUGUUCAACUGCCAUUGAAACUGUUGGUCUUGAGUGAAUUUGAAGUUGCCGGAAUAUGUAGUGUAGCGGUGAAAUGCAUAGAUAUUACAUAGAACACCAAUUGCGAAGGCAGGUAACUAAGAUUUAACUGACGCUGAUGGACGAAAGCGUGGGGAGCGAACAG
rnacentral:rRNA from 1 species